rnacentral:rRNA from 1 species
GACGAACGCUGGCGGCGUGCUUAACACAUGCAAGUCGAGCGGUAAGGCCCUUUCGGGGGUACACGAGCGGCGAACGGGUGAGUAACACGUGGGUGACCUGCCCUCAGCUCUGGGAUAAGCCCGGGAAACUGGGUCUAAUACCGGAUAUGACUCCAUGACGCAUGUUGUGGGGUGGAAAGCCUUGUGCGGCUGAGGAUGGGCCCGCGGCCUAUCAGCUUGUUGGUGGGGUGAUGGCCCACCAAGGCGACGACGGGUAGCUGGUCUGAGAGGAUGGCCAGCCACAUUGGGACUGAGAAACGGCCCAGACUCCUACGGGAGGCAGCAGUGGGGAAUCUUGCGCAAUGGUCUAACGACUGACGCAGCGACGCGCGUGAGGGAUGAAGCUCUUCGGAGUGUAAACCUCUGUUGCCCGGACGAAUAGCGGAUUAUUCCGACUUGACGGUACCGGGUGAGGAAGCACCGGCUAACUCCGUGCCAGCAGCCGCGGUAAC